AACGAACGCUGGCGGCAUGCCUAACACAUGCCAGUCGAACGAGACCUUCGGGUCUAGUGGCGCACGGGUGCGUAACGCGUGGGAACCUGCCCUUAGGUUCGGAAUAACUCCCCGAAAGGGGUGCUAAUACCGGAUAAUGUCUUCGGACCAAAGAUUUAUCGCCUUUGGAUGGGCCCGCGUUGGAUUAGCUAGUUGGUAGGGUAAAAGCCUACCAAGGCGACGAUCCAUAGCUGGUCUGAGAGGAUGAUCAGCCACACUGGGACUGAGACACGGCCCAGACUCCUACGGGAGGCAGCAGUGGGGAAUAUUGGACAAUGGGCGAAAGCCUGAUCCAGCAAUGCCGCGUGAGUGAUGAAGGCCUUAGGGUUGUAAAGCUCUUUUACCCGGGAUGGUAAUGACAGUACCGGGAGAAUAAGCUCCGGCUAACUCCGUG
rnacentral:rRNA from 1 species